GGUUAAGCGAACAAGCGUACACGGUGGAUGCCCUGGCAGUCAGAGGCGAUGAAGGACGUGCUAAUCUGCGAAAAGCGUCGGUAAGGUGAUAUGAACCGUUAUAACCGACGAUGUCCGAAUGGGGAAACCCGGUGCACUUCGGUGCAUCAUCGUUUGAUGAAUACAUAGUCAAACGAGGCGAACCGGGGGAACUGAAACAUCUAAGUACCCCGAGGAAAAGAAAUCAACCGAGAUUCCCCCAGUAGCGGCGAGCGAACGGGGAACAGCCCAGAGCCUGAAUCAGCUUGUGUGUUAAUGGAAGCGUCUGGAAAGUCGCACGAUACAGGGUGAAAGUCCCGUACAUGAAAGCACACAGGCUGUGAGCUCGAUGAGUAGGGCGGGACACGUGAUAUCCUGUCUGAAGAUGGGGGGACCAUCCUCCAAGGCUAAAUACUCCUGACUGACCGAUAGUGAACCAGUACCGUGAGGGAAAGGCGAAAAGAACCCCGGCGAGGGGAGUGAAACAGAACCUGAAACCGUGUACGUACAAGCAGUGGGAGCCUUCGUAAGAGGGUGACUGCGUACCUUUUGUAUAAUGGGUCAGCGACUUAU
rnacentral:rRNA from 1 species